rnacentral:misc_RNA from 1 species
AAAAGAGAAACACUUCCAUGCAUAAUAAAAAUGCAUUUCCAAUCUAACAAAUGUUUUACCCAAAUGCAUCUAAGAUGUUAGUUACAGCUGAUACAAUUUAAGAUUCAUAUUUACUAUUUUUUAGAGGUAUUUUUGAGAAGACCAGACACAGACAGGACGUGCCUAGGCUAUUGUCCAAUAUUCUUAAGAUAGUUGGAUUCAAGAAACAGUAAGAAGGGUUAGAAUACUGGGAACACAAAAAAUUCAAUAUAUAUCGGAGUACAUCACAAAGAAAAAUUAGUUUCAUCUAUUUUACUUAUGCUAUU